UGGAGAGACCCUCUGGUGCCCUAUCACAGGACCGAUAGGAGGCUGGAGAGACCCUCUGGUGCCCUAUCACAGGACCGAUAGGAGGCUGGGAGACCCUCUGGUGCCCUAUCACAGGACCGAUAGGAGGCUUGGUCAACGGUUGUGAAUGUCCAACAGGGGCAGGGCCCCUUGAUUCCCUCCUUUACUGUCAGACCUCUGGGGACCUCGGCUUCAAACAGGAAGUGACAGUUGAUCACCACGGCGACCGUGUUCCCAUCAGGGAGGGUGGGGCCCUGAAACAGCUAACUUCUAGCUCAUUGAUGUGCUUGUUGACUCCGAUGCAGUCAUGCAAUGUGUGUUUCCUGACAUAGAAUUAACAACAUAAUUGUGUUACCUCCUCUCUUUGCAUAAUGUGCCCAUCGGCGCUACAUGAUUACAGGAAGUAGACACAAAUGUUUUUCGGAAGACAAUUUCUUCCCCAAAGUCGGGUUUGAAAAUGAAACCUGGCCGAAUGGUAAUUGGUUAAGGAUUUGGAUUCCUGGCACACAUGAUUAGAAACAGAUUUCAAAUCAUUUAGUGUAAUUAAAGUAUGCAUAAACAAUCCCCCGCCCUGUACAAACGACACACAAACACACACACACACACACACACACACACACACACACACACACACACACACACACACACACACACACACACACACACACACACACACACACACACACACACAUGCACGCACGCAUGCACACACAUUCUUAAGAUCUAGACCUAAAACUGGGUGAGAAGCUUUGCAACAGCAGCGCUACGCAUAUGUUACCAUAGCUCUUGUAUGUUCCUAAAGGUCCACCAUGCAUGGUUAGUGUGCAGGUCAUUGUUGAACCUAAUAUGCACGUUUCAAGUUUGUCAUUAGAAGCCUUAUGGUGCAAUAUUAACUUCAACACCUCCUUCACCUUGAACCGCUAUCAAAGGUUCUGCCAAUACUAACAUCGUUCCCCGUUUCUUUUCUCUUUUUUUUUUAAACAAUCUCAGUACACCCUUUUAGGUGGCUAAAAGCUACUCCUAUCCUUAAAACAGGGGUGGAUGCAUUCUUUCCACCACUAGUUUGUGUUUGCUCAGGUUUGAGCCGCUACAUUCCAUUGAACCGUUGCAUUCCAAGGAAGGCCUCGACUGGCUGCUUGAGCAGAACCAAGGUCGACCACUGCAGCGGCGCCGUAGCACCGUGACGAUCCAGAGCUGUUGACACACGCAUGUGUUUGGAGAGAGGUGUCUGCAGGCUUCUUCCAUGCGGGCGUGUGUGUGUGGGUCAGAGUCCACACACUGACACCAUUGACGCUGAAUACAACUGGGCUGGGACAACAGCACAGUCACUGCUCUGUGAGUGCACAAUAUGGCCGUCAUGCGUGAUGCCAGUGCACGUACACUGAAGUACCAUCACCACGGCGACCAACCCAUCACGGCCGAUUGUAACGGAGUGCGGCACGGAGUGAAGUGUCCGAGGAGUGUAUCUACAGAGCGUACAAAACGUGACAGAAGUACCCAUCACCACGGUAACCGCCAGCACUCAGCCUCCACCAGACAAGAUGGCAAGAUCCCAGGACCAGACGGGGCUUUCCCCUGCCUCUCUGCCAGACCUUUCCGGGACAUCGCUCCCACCUAUCGGCUGCUGUUUCCUGCCCCUCUGACUCCUGAUAGGAGGCCUGGGAAAGAGAACACAAGGUCGUCAGUGAAGGCAAGGUCAUCUGAGAAUAGAAAUUAACUAAAAAUAUGAAGAAAACAUGUCGAGCCCAACUGUCCCUGCGUAGUCAGCAGUCCCUGCACCGACGCUCCAGAGAGGGUUGUGGUGUCCAAGGACAACGUGGUUCAGAUCCAAGGGCCCUGCAAUGACGUUCCUUGGAAUACUGCAUUGUGCCUGUUUAUUGUUUGUUUGCUUGUGUGUAGCCUGACGCCAUAUAGUAUAGACGAGUGCUAUGAUGCUAUACUGUUUAUGUGUUUAGUCACACCAUGUGUGUUUAUGUGCCUUGACGCUUUCCAUAUGAUGCGGUUUUAUGCAUGUGUGUUUGUGUUGAUGGCUUGAAGGGCUUCAAUUGUUAUUGUGUGUACGUAUGUGUGUGUGUGUGUGAAGUUGUUUGUGUGUGUGUAUUUCAGUGCAGAAAAUACUUUUAGGCAACUCCAUGAAUAGUAUUUGCAUAUGUGCAGUAUUAGGUGUUAGGCCGUAGUACAUGAUGUUUGUUUUGCGUUGUGUACAGCACUGCAUUCUGGGUGACAGUGGGUUCCGUUUUGAGAUAAAACCAGAUAAACCAUUGAGCAAUAAACACAUCCGCCGUUUAGAAGGAUCAGAGAUAAACCCAGACGUUGUACACAGUAAACUGAUACACACACACACACGCCUACGUACAUACACACAGACACACCAGACCCACACACUAGCUUGAUGUCUAUUGUGAUCCAUACUAUAGGAAAACAUCAGCUG
ensembl:lncRNA